rnacentral:lncRNA from 1 species
CAUUUUCACCCAUAAUUAUUUUCUCCUUCUUCUCUCUUCACUCUCUCUACACCGCCCCAACUCCGCCCACCACCGUCGGCCGGAAAUCGCCAUUGUCGGCGAACCACCUCCAAACACCUCCAAAUUCACACCAUGUAAUCUCCACAACUUCCUAUUUCCAUAUCUCCAAACCAAAUCCUUCAAAAAUCCCUCAAACACCUUGAAUAUUAGAUCUAGGAAACUUUCCAGUCACUUUUUUGCCCAAAUUCUUGAAGCUCCAACCACUACCACCCCACAAUACCUACAUCAAUGGAUAGAGCUCCUCAAGACCUAGCUAUUGAUGCCAAUUUCACCUUGAAAAUCCGGCGACCAAAAUCUGGCCAAAUUCCGGCGACCUCCCCGAACACCCUCUUUUGGCAUACCACCAUUUUUUCGGCCACUUGAAUUAUAAAAUGGUAAAAAUCCUUUUCUUUUUCGUAGCUGAUUUUUUAUUUUAUUUUUAUUUUUUCAGAUUUUAUUUUAUCUAUUAUUAAUUAUUUUAGCAUUAGUUUUUGAAGUUUGAAAUGUUAAAUUUUUUGUUUUUGCACUUGUUGAAGUAGUAAAAUAGUUUUGUAUUGAUAAAAGUGAGGUAGUGAAAAAUACGUAAGAGUAUAUGAUACUUGUUUGGUUGUUUAUUUACUGCUUCAAGACUCUUUGAGUACAACACUCAAAAGUCAAAUUGUUUGGUAAGAAAAUGUAGACCUUUGGAUAGUGUUUGAAUAAAAGUCUGUCUUUGAAUAGUGGAGACCAGAUUUUGUUUGAAAUACUUGACAAGAUUUGAACCAGAAAGUCUGGCCCUUUGAAUUUAAGAGCAGAUUUUCUAGAAAAAUCUGUCAAAAAGAUUGAUUUUUAAUUUUUUGAAAUAGCUGGCUGUUUUGAUAUAUAGGAGGACACUCCAUCUUACUGAGAGGGCUGGACACACAAAAAAGAGAAAAAAAUCAGUAGCUAUAUAUCCCUUAGCAACUUUUGUGAGUUGAUUCUUAAGUGAAAAACUUGUUUAAGGAAAAUAGAGUAGUCUUGAAAGAUUUUUCUGGAGUUACAUAAUUGUACUGUUUUGCUGGGGUAUUUCUAGUUUUUAUUCUUGGGUUUGAAUCUGCCGGUAGUCGCUGUCUUUUGCUAUUGUUGCUGCCCGUUUAAUUGUUUUGUUGUUGAUUUCGGAAAGAGUUGACUCUGCUGUAUUUGUUCUUCUUUCUGCUGUCCAGGUAAUUUUCGG